rnacentral:lncRNA from 1 species
AUCCUCCUGAGGACACAGAGUGACCAGGAUGCCAAUGAUCGGAGGCCUUGCCAGCCGCUGGUCCUACUCAGGAUGUCCCUGUGGCCGUACACCUAAGUGAGCCAGGAAGCAGCAGCAGGUUUGAGCCUUCUCAACCCCACCUCCAGAGGACUCCUCUUCCAUGCCUCUGUGUCUUGAUGCCUUCAAGUCAUUCAUUGGAACAAAGAGAGACCACAAACCCCAGAAUGAUCUUCAGUCUUCCCUAGAGAAGAUCAAGAAAAAUGUCACCAGAUCUCCAAGCCCAAACCACAGUAACCUGAGGCCAGAGAGGAGUGAACAUUUUUAGAAUUAUAGGCACUUCAGUUGUCUGUAGGACUGAGAACUUGUUAUCAUUGUGUAGGAGGUUUGGUGAUUUAUUUGAAAUUCUUGGAAGGAUUGCAAUAAGAGAGGUCUGACC